AAACAAAGAAUAUAGGCGGUUUCUAGAAGCUGGAAAAGGCAAGGAAAUGGAUUUCCCCUAGAGCUUCCAGAGGGAAACAUCCUGGAAGACAUCUUGGUUUCAGCCCAGUGAGACCUAUGUCAGACUUCUGUGGAACUGGGUGUUACUCUGAAAGCGUUUCCCAGUCAACUUCCUGCAGCAAAUCUCUGUCUCGAAGUCUGCUUCCCAUGGGCGUGACCUAUGACACUAACAAGUAUUUGACACUUUCAUAUUUUUUCUACUUGAAAUACAAAUCUCAUGUUCCCCUAAUCACUGGUGGCAUUGCUGAGACUAUUAUCUCAGCUCAGAGGCAUGAAACAGCACAGUUUUAUUUGCAAAUUGGUAGCUUGGAUAGACGAGGUCAGCCUGUGAGGGCCCGCGGUCAAGAAUGUGACCGGACAGGAGGCGGCUGGCAUAUACUGAAUAAGGUGGAUCAAAGGCCUAGUUCAACUGUCAGGGAGGCACAGGCAAGCAAUAUAGUCUGUGUCAGCUGGGGUCACACUGUGGAAAAUAUCUAAAUCAGGCUUUUGGAACCCAGUCCAGAAGACCGGUAGUCAGAAAAUUAAGAACCAAAGGGGCUGGUCAUCAGAUUUCCUGUGUGAAGAUACUGAGGUUGGCAUGCAAAAGGCAAUUAAUAAAUGCAAGCUCCCUAUUCCUGUUCCCACGUGGAUAUCUCAGAAACUCCCCAAUGCUUGGGAAUCUUCUCCAGAGCACAAUUUCCUCAAA
rnacentral:lncRNA from 1 species